AUUGUUAGUAAUCGUUAAUAAGAACGUUACGGUGAAAUUUUCCCUUAGCUUUGUACAUACCGCCCGUCACAGUUCGGAAUAUUGUUAAAUUUGACAGGUCUUUUUAUAAAGCUUUAUUUUUUAACAAUUAACUGAGCUGAAGUCGUAACAAGGUAGCCGUAAGUGAACUUGUGGCUGAAAUUUUAUUUAA
rfam:PVC group bacterium (ex Bugula neritina AB1) isolate AB1-3 AB834_contig000085, whole genome shotgun sequence.